AGUUUUUACAGAACGCAGACAGUGGAUGCCUUGGUAUGAAGUACCGAAGAAGGACGUACAUGAUCACGAUAGUCGUCGGGGAGGAGUCACGAUCCUGUGAUCCGGCGGUGUCCGAAUGGGGAAACCCACAGCGCUUCAUCGCGUUGGACUCGUGCCCCAAGGGGCACUUCAAACUGUUAACACUUAACUUUUAACAAAUUAACAAGAUAAAGCUCAAUAACAUUUUUAGCUUUCGGUUAAUAGUUAAUUGUCAAUUGUUGAUAGUUCGAAGUGCCUAAUAAGGCAGGUAGAGGGUACCACCCGAACUGAAACAUCUAAGUAGGGUGAGGAAGAGAAAUCAAUAGAGAUUGCGUCAGUAGCGGAGAGCGAAAUCGCAACAGCCUAAACCACUGUGCUUCGCACAGAGCUUUUAACAUUUAACUUUUAACAAAUUAACUAAAAAAGCGUAAUCUUAAUUUUAUAUUUUCUUUCUUAAGUUGAUAGUUAAUUGUUGAUUUGUUGAGGGUUCCGCGCGGAGUGCGGUGGGGUUGCAGGACUCCGAUAUGGGACCUCGUUAGAUAGCUGAAUGACUUGGAAUAGUCAAUCAUAGAGAGUGAAAAUCUCGUAAGCGAAAUCAAGCGGGGCUCUAGGAGUAUCCUAAGUAUCCCGAUGCAAAUACUUCGGGAGAAUCCGGGGGAACCAUCCUCCAAGGCUAAAUAUACUUCAUAACCGAUAGUGAACAAGUACCGUGAGGGAAAGGCGAAAAGAUGAGCGGGACGCUCAGUGAAAUAGAACCUGAAACUGUUUGCGGACAAACCGUCAGAGCUGCUGUGCAGCUCUGAACAAUUAACUUUUAACUUUUAACAAAUUAACCAAUAAAGAGCUUGCUUUAGAAUUUUAUAUAACUCUUUAAGUUAAUUGUUAAUUGUCAAUUGUUGAUAGUUCAGCGCUGUGCAACAGUGAUGACGUGCCUAUUGAAGAAUGAGCCGGCGAGUUGCCGCGUAGCGCAUAGUCUAACCGAGUCUGACUCGGGAAGGCGCAGGGAAACCAAGUCUGAAUAGGGCGAUUAGCGCGAAGUGGCAGACCCGAAACCAGGUGAUCUAUCCAUGAGCAGGGUGAACUCCGUCGAAAGACGGAAGGAGGCCCGAACCCGUUGAUGUUGCAAUAUCAUGGGAUGACUUGUGGAUAGUGGUAAAAUGCCAACCGAACCUGGAGAUAGCUGGUUCUCCCCGAAAGGUCUAUAGGGACCGUGGUAGUGUAAAGCAUAGAGGUGGUAGAGCUACUGAAUGGGUAGGCGAGGGUAACCGAGUCUACUUAACCAAACUCCGAAUAACUCUAUGGAUCCGCUACUAGACAGUCAUAUCGGGCUAAGCUGAUAUGACGAAAGGGAAACAACCCAGACUUUCAGCUAAGGCCUCUAAAUCACAACUAAGUUUCAAAGGAAGUCAGUAUCCCCAAACAGCCAGGAGGUUGGCUUAGAAGCAGCCACCCUUUAAAGAUAGCGUAACAGCUCACUGGUCGAGGAUGCGGGCGCCUAAAAUUUAUCGAGGAUAAGUUGUGUGCCGAAGCUAGAGAUGCUCGUACUUCGUACGAGAUUUAUCAUUUUUCAUUUUUCAUUAUCCACUUAAUUUCAAUUGAUCAAUUUUCAAAUUGUUAAAUUAAUGGCAGAUGUUAAAUGAUUAAAUGAACGAUCUCGCACGGAGUGCGAGUGUGGUAGGGGAGCGUUCCAUGUGCAGUGAAGUUCGUCUGUAAGGACGGGUGGAGUGCAUGGAAGUGAGAAUGCCGGCAUGAGUAGCGUAUAUCCCGGUGAGAAUCCGGGACGCCGAAUACCCAAGGUUUCCGUCGCUAGGUUCGUCCACGACGGGUUAGUCGGCACCUAAGGCGAGGCCGUAUGGCGUAGUCGAUGGGUGACAGGUCAAAAUUCCUGUAUUUACCUUGAAUCGAAAGAGCGUGCGUAGCACGCAGCGCAUAGAACAUAGCGCAUAGCGCAGAGAUUAAGAUUUGUUCAAUUCUUUUUCCUAUGCACUUUGCACUUUGAACUUUGCUCUGCAUGCUGCGCAUGCUAGUUGGGGACUGACUGAGUUGGAUAGCUAGGGCCCCUUCGUGAAGUUGGGUGUAAGUUGCAAAAUAGUGUCAGUUGGAAAAUCCGCUGAUGUGAUUAAUUGAGCAGUGAUGCAAAGCUGGCAGAAAUGCUGGUGAUCCUAACCUAUUCAGCUUACAAGAAAAGGUUCGCAACGAGAUUUAAGAUAAGCCGUACCGCAAACCGACACAGGUGGGUUGGUAGAGAAUACUAAGGCGAUCGAGAGAAAGAGGCUUAAGGAACUCGGCAAAUUAGCUGGACGUAAGUUCGCAAGAUGUCCUUCCCGACAGCGCAAGCUUGUCGGGAUACAACAAAAGAAUGCUAACCGACUGUUUAUCAAAAACACAGGUCCGUGCAAAAGCGAAAGCUGAAGUAUACGGGCUGAUGCCUGCCCAGUGCCGGUAAGUGAAGAGGAUCCCUGACUCCGCAAGGUUUUUGGGGUGAAUUCAAGCUCCGGUAAACGGCAGCAGUAACUAUGAAACAUUUGUAGUUCUAAAAGUCGACUAUAUGCUGGAACAUCCGGUUGUAUAUGUUGGUACUAGAUUAGAUAAUUUAUUUAGUGAAAAUCCAACAUCGGACGUUGUUCAGUGCGCCGCGUCAAACGCGGCUGGCACGUUCGACGUGCCGGACAAUCAGCAGGAAAGGCCUUUCUGGAAAUAAUAUUGGAUAUUUUCUUGCAGGAUUUGUAGAAGGAGAAGGAAGUUUUAAUGUCUCAUUACGACGAAAAGUUGAUUAUAAAGUUAAUUGGCAAGUAGUGAUGAGUUUUAAUGUUUCGCAAAAAGAUCCUUCAAUUUUAUUUCUGUUAAAACAGGAGUUGGAUUGCGGGAUUAUUAAAGUUAGAAAAAUUGACAAACUUUAUUCUUUCGAUGUAACAAAUCCACAAGAUAUAAUCCGAAAAGUCAUUCCGUAUUUUAAAAGAUUUCCUAUUGUUUCAGUAUCAAAAAGGAAGAACUUUGCAAUAUUUUGCAAAAUUGCUUCUUUAAUGGAUAAAGGGGAACACAGGAGUAUAGAUGGUCUCAGGAAAAUUCUCGAACUUCGGGAGAGAAUUAACGUAGGAAAAGGUAGGACCAGAAAGUAUGGAAUAAAAGAUAUUUUUCCUGAAAUGGAAUCCUCAGAGACUAUACGUCGACCUUCGGUAUUAAAACCGGAGAUGAUAUAGUCCGACCUCUAUAGCGAUAUAGAGACUACGUAACCAUCCGUAGCAUGUAACAAAAGUGAACUGUUCUACGGUAGCGAAGUUCCUUGUCGGGUAAGUUCCGACCCGCACGAAAGGCAUAACGAGUUAGCAACUGUCUCGAGCCUCUACUCGGCGAAAUUGCGAUGGCUGUGAAGACGCGGCCUACUUCCAUCAGGACAAAAAGACCCCGUGGAGCUUUACUGUAACCUGGUAUUGUUUUGUGCGUUUUAAUUGUUUAGUGUAGGAGGGAGGUACGUUCAUUUACUGAACGUACCACAAGUGAAAUACCUCCCUUUGAAACGUUUCAAAUCUUACUUAAUUCCGAUGAAGACUCGGAAAAGAAAAGUGCUAGGUGGGCAGUUUUACUGGGGCGGUACCUUGCCAAAAGGUAACGCAAGGGCACAAAGGUCGGCUUAGCACGGAUGGACAUCGUGCUGAAUGUGUAAAAGCAUAAGCCGGCUUGACUGCGACAGCGACGGCUGGAGCAGGUGCGAAAGCAGGUUUUAAUGAUCCUCCAAAGUCAUGUGGGUGACUUGGAGCUUAACGGAUAAAAGCUACCCCGGGGAUAACAGAGUAGUCGCGCCCGAGAGUCCAUAUCGACGGCGCGGAUCGCUACCUCGAUGUCGGCUCA
rnacentral:rRNA from 1 species